GCCGGAUAAAACUGCGUCUCGUCGGCUAAAGAAUUGCAUUGUAAUCUAAUUUCUUACACGAAUCUCGUGACCGCGGCGAAGCCGACCUAGUUACUAUACAUAACCUAUACCGAAGCCGAGAGAGCGUCAAACAAUCGACUGGCGGCCUAAGAGCCCCCAAACAAAGUCACCGAAAAAUGUGACUCUCCGCCUAGAGCACGCGGUGUGUGUAUGCAAAAGGAGAGCGAUUGACCCCGUGAACUCGCUCGGUUGUGCAGUGAUAACGAGAGACGCGGCUAUGGGGGCUUUGUUCGGCGGUUCGUUGCGGAGUUGCGGAGUGAGUUCGCGAUGCUAAUUGGAUUCUUCGAUCUCGGCGUGCAUUAAUCGUGGAGCAAAUCGGCCGAGAAGGGCGCGGCCUGUCAUCAGGCUUCCAACAGCGCUAAGCCAGGAUCAGCGAGCACACCGAAUUCCAGCGAACAGCCCACCACCAGCAGUGGUAACAAUAGCAGCAGCAGCAGCAGCAGCAGCAGUGGCUUCGGACGUUGGCUGAGGGAACACCUCACCGUCAGCAAGUCCAGCGAUUCCAAUGGCGGCAAGUUGAAGCAGCAGUCCUCGCCCUCGCAGAAUCUCUACUGCAGUCUGCCGAGGGAGAGAGCAGCCGGUAGGAGGCCGGAGCAGAGGCGAGCUUCCUGCAGAAUCGUAGCUUCCGGCAACGAGCAGAGACAGGUCCAGAAGAAGCUCCAGCCGGAGCUGGAGAUCGGCAAGGAGCAGCACGAUGAGCAGAGGACUCAGACGAUCGGCAGGAGGAGAGCCAGGGCCAAGGCGGAACGCAGGAGACACUCCAUGAGCGAGUUCCAGAGCGGCGCCAGGCGGAA